CUGGCCCUAAACAAUGUCCACUAGAUCGGGGCGCCUCUGACGGCGUCGUGGUCGAAGCAAAAGUGUUAAGUGGACCGCCUGGGAAGUACGGUCGCAAGGCUAAAACUCAAAGGAAUUGACGGGGGCUCACACAAGCGGUGGAGCAUGUGGUUCAAUUCGAAGCAACGCGCAGAACCUUACCUGGGCUUGACAUGCCAGGAUUAUCCCCAUGAAAGUGGGGUAGGCCCUUCGGGGUACAACUGGCACAGGUGC
rnacentral:rRNA from 1 species